GUGCCCGUGGCGUAAUUGGAUAGCGCGCCUGACUACGGAUCAGGAGGUUGCAGGUUCAAGUCCUGCCGGGUACG
rfam:Giardia intestinalis strain GS GS_B_0077, whole genome shotgun sequence.